CAGCCGCCGCGGUAAUACCGGCGGCCCGAGUGGCGGUCACUAUCAUUGGGCUUAAAGCGUCCGUAGCCGGGUUGGGAAAUCCUCCGGGAAAUCUGGCCGCUUAACGGUCAGAAUGCCGGAGGAUACUCCCAGCCUAGGGGGCGGGAGAGGCCGAGGGGAUUCCCGGGGUAGGGGUGAAAUCCUAUAAUCCCGGGAGGACCACCUGUGGCGAAGGCGCUCGGCUGGAACGCGUCCGACGGUGAGGGACGAAGGCCAGGGGAGCAAACCGGAUUAGAUACCCGGGUAGUCCUGGCUGUAAACGAUGCGGACUUUGUGUCGGACAAGCUAUGAGCUUGUCCGGUGCCGGAGGGAAACCGUUAAGUCCGCCGCCUGGGGAGUACGGCCGCAAGGCUGAAACUUAAAGGAAUUGGCGGG
rnacentral:rRNA from 1 species